AACUGGACUUUGUGAGAGUUUUCUUGCAAAAUGUUUGCCAAGAUUGGUGGCGAUCGAAGGUGGACAGCAAGAUCGAAGCUCAGCAAGAUUGAAGAUUGUUCGAGGAAGAAGGAGUUCGCCGUUGACUAAAAGGUUUAUCUGAACAGCUAGUUGUCAAGAUGAAGGUGACUCCCCCGGCCAAAUUCAAAAUGGCGAUGCCAAAGAAAACCAUCCACGUGGACCGUUCGCGG